rnacentral:lncRNA from 1 species
GUCAGAGCAGGGGUGAGUGUGUGUGCCCGGCCAAGGCCGGCCGCCUGGGGAGUGGACCCAGGUUGGGCGUGCAGGCCGGGGCUUCCACGCCCGUGCCCACCGAGCCCCUCACAGCGAGGAUGGGCCUGGGGCGGGCAGAGAGGGAGGGAAGCUGCGGUGGGCGGGGGUGGGGGGACCUUCUGCUGUCCCCACGUCCCGUGCUCGCCGUCGGAAUUCUGAAGAGCCGGAGCUUCUGAGCGGUCGGAACUGGAGCCCGAGAGCGCCUGGAGGACAGAUGGUGCGUCACGUAGUGGCUUCUUGCAAAGUUGUGGCCUGCUCUGUGGCCUCACCUACUCGAGGACAUGGGGGGCCUGUCCUGGCUGCGGGGCUGUGUGGCCGCCAGGCUCUGCCCACCUGCUUCUCCCUCCCUCCCUGCCGCAGACUCAGGCCGCCUCCCCUCCAGACCCUGCUCCACCCCCCACCCCCCCCACCCCCGCCGGGUGCCUUGGCUCGCAGCUUCUCCCCCUGCCUCCGCCCAGGGAGGGCGCCUGGAUGGGGCUCCACCCUGACUUGCCUCCGCAGUGAGGACCGUGGGGCUGGUGACCCAACGGCACAUGUUUAGACCCGUGAGCAGGCUGCUGUGCUGGGCCUGGCCAGGCGCAGGCCUCCCCUGUCUCUCCCCCGGACGGUGGCCAUGGGCCCCACGUGUCCGUCUGCGCUGGUCAGUCCAGCUUGGAGGCUUGGACAGCUCAUGGCUCUGGGGGCGGGGAGCCCACGAGCAGGCAGCCAGCAGGGUCAGGUCCCUGGUGAGGCCCCUGCCUGGCUUGCAGAUGGCCCCCUUCUCACUGGGUCCUCAUGCGCUGGGGACGGAGGAAGCGAGCUCUCCGGGGCUCUUCUCAUCGGGCACAGAUCCCAGUCUCUGGGCCCCGCCUGCAUGACCCGCUUUGCCCUGAACGACCGCCUCCACUGGGGGACUCAACAUACGACCCCGAGGGAUGCAGGUCAGUCUGGGCCGCCUCCUUCCGGCUGGUUCAUCCCUGUUUGUCUUCCAGGGCACCUUUGUAAGGGAUUCUUCUGUGCGCAAGGCUGGACGCGGGGCGUUGUUUCCAGAACGCCCCCUGGACUCACCAUCAAAGAGGCUAAAUUACGCUAAGGAUUUACCUGCUUCUUCCCAUCAGGUGAGGAGCCUGGAGGUGGGUGUCCUUGAGGAUCGGCCUCAUGGCCUGGGCAGCGGCAGUGAGUGGGACCAGCUUAGGGGCCUGAGCAGGAGUCUCCACCUCCUCGGACUGCAGUUUCUCUGGCAGGAAAACGGAGCGACAGCCUGGCAGACCCCCCGGCGCUGCAAGCAGGGCAGACAGGCGGCCUGAGACCCAGGGACCCGACGGUCACGGCCGCUCCGCCAGGCGCAUUCGCGGGCAUGGACCGCCAGUCUCCAGGAGCUCUGUGAAGUGACCAUGCAGCCAACCCUGCUGUCCAGGUGCUGAAAUGGCCCAGAGAGGCUGAGAGACUGCCCCAAAGCCACACAGCGCCCAGGAAGCGGCUGUGUGUCCAAUGCUCCCCCUGUCCUCCUCCCCCCACCAUUAGGAAACUCCGACUCCCAGGAGAUGACAUCCGUGGGUGACUGAGCUCAGAUAGGGCCAUGGGAUGGGACCCCUAGAGCGGAUUUGUGCCCCCAUAGGAAGAGGAAGACGCAGGAGACCCACCGCCACCCCGCAGACCCAUGCAACUACAGCAACAAGUCCGCAAACCAGCAGGGGGGUCUGGCCGGGACAUGAGCACGGAGCCACGCGAUCCCGGGCAGCCAGCCUCCAGCACUGCGAGGACUGAUCCCCGCCAUCUCAGCCGCCCAGUCUAGGGCAGCCCCAG